AACGAACGCUGGCGGCAUGCCUAACACAUGCAAGUCGAACGAUGCUUUCGAGCAUAGUGGCGCACGGGUGCGUAACGCGUGGGAAUCUGCCCUUAGGUUCGGAAUAACAGUUAGAAAUGACUGCUAAUACCGGAUGAUGACGUUAAUUCCAAAGAUUUAUCGCCUGAGGAUUAGCCCGCGUAGGAUUAGCUAGUUGGUGUGGUAAGAGCGAACCAAGGCGACGAUCAUUAGCUGGUCUGAGAGGAUGAUCAGCCACACUGGGACUGAGACACGGCCCAGACUCCUACGGGAGGCAGCAGUGGGGAAUAUUGGACAAUGGGCGCAAGCCUGAUCCAGCAAUGCCGCGUGAGUGAUGAAGGCCUUAGGGUUGUAAAGCUCUUUUACCCGGGAUGAUAAUGACAGUACCGGGAGAAUAAGCUCCGGCUAACUCCGUGCCAGCCGCCGCAGUAA
rnacentral:rRNA from 1 species